rnacentral:lncRNA from 1 species
CCUGAAAAAAAUUGCAUGCAAGAUUUAUAGUUUGCUUAAUUUUGCUUUCUCUGUUUCAGUCAUUAUCAUUGCCUAUAGCAAGAACCAUAGAUGAGAAGAGACUAACUACAGCUACAAAUUCUUCAGUAAAUUAUCUGAAUGAAUGUACUGUCUUGCAGUGUUUCAACUGUACAGGUUCUGGAUUAUUCUUCUUCCACCUCAAAGUCAAGUCUGAUAAUACCGAAAAGAUCAGAGAUUGAUACAGUAGGAGGUAAAAUGCUAUACAGCUACCAGAUAUCUGUAUUAUUUAUAUCAUCUUUUUUGAGACCUUGCUAUUUAUU